CUGACUGCAGUCCAAUGUGGCUCAACACGCAUGGAAAGCCGAUCCGGGUGGGAUGCAAGCAAACCUGUGAUAACUCUGUACAUAAGGUGACUGUCCAGCAAGGAGACGAAGAGUGCACUAAUAUUUCAUCUGACACAGCAAGAAAGAUGCAACCCUUCCUGGGAUAUAUAUGUCCUGUUGGCCGGUGUAGCGGGGACACCUGCUCUUUAAAUGGUCUUUCUUUGGAAUGUUGGAAUGCGAACCCUCAGCCUUCACAGUGCAAUGGUAAACGACGCAAUGGCCCGUCAACUCGAGCACCUGAUGUUUGAAAACAACAUUUUUACCUAGUCCACGAGCUUUGUAAAUAAAUGCACCUUA